rfam:Salmo salar isolate Sally breed double haploid chromosome ssa09, whole genome shotgun sequence.
GCGUAAUGAUGGUGUAAGUCGCUCUGGAUAAGAGCGUCUGCUAAAUGACGUAAA